rnacentral:rRNA from 1 species
UACGUAGGGUGCGAGCGUUACUCGGAAUUACUGGGCGUAAAGCGUGCGUAGUCGGCCAUUCAAGUCGGGUGUGAAAGCCCCGGGCUCAACCUGGGAAUUGCAUUCGAUACUGUGUGGCUAGAGUUCGGCAGAGGGAAGUGGAAUUUCUGGUGUAGCGGUGAAAUGCGUAGAUAUCAGAAGGAACAUCAGUGGCGAAAGCGACUUCCUGGACCAGAACUGACGAUCAGGCACGAAAGCGUGGGGAGCAAACAGG